AAGGAAACCCGAUUGCUACAUAC
rnacentral:siRNA from 1 species